rnacentral:rRNA from 1 species
CCUACGGGUGGCAGCAGUCGAGAAUCAUUCACAAUGGGGGAAACCCUGAUGGUGCGACGCCGCGUGGGGGAAUGAAGGUCUUCGGUUUGUAAACCCUUGUCAUGUGGGCGCAAUUUAAAAAGAUAGUACCACAAGAGGAAGAGACGGCUAACUCUGUGCCAGCAGCCGCGGUAAUACGUAGGUCUCAAGCGUUGUUUGUAAUUACUGGGGGUAAAGCGUGCGUAGGCUGUUUCGUAAGUCGUGUGUGAAAGGCGCGGGCUCAACCCGCGGACGGCACUUGAUACUGCGAGACUAGAGUAAUGGAGAGGGAACCGGAAUUCUCGGUGUAGCAGUGAAAUGCGUAGAUA